UUUUGUUUUAUUUUCAGGUCAAUUCAUACGGGAAUGUUGUAUACAAUGAGUAUGUUCGACCAGUAGAGCGUAUAGUUGACUUUCGUACAAGUAUAAGUGGGAUCCGUCCCAAACACAUGAAAAAAGGUUGGCACUUCAUUUGUUCUAUUUUAGCCUUUUAUGGAAUCAAUGUUCUUUUAUGUGUUUAUGGGAGGGGGAUGCGCUUUUACAUCUAUUUUCCUGCAAAUUCAUCUAUUUAUGUAAGGCUUUUUCUUGAAGAGGGGCAUUUUUGAGAUGCAAGGUAAUAUAUGGAUAAGGAAUCAUGUUUCUAAAGAGCAUGUAUGAGAAUUCCAAUUUUGCAGAUUUCUAGGGGAAUACAUGUAGACUAUGUCUUUGUCCCGUGAUGAUUAAUGCGAAUGUGCUGUUCUAUCCUUUUGUUGCUAUCAGCUAAAGAGUUUUGGAUUGUUCAGAAGCAAGUGGCUGAUAUAAUCCAAGGACGAAUCCUCGUGGGUCAUGCUUUGCACAAUGAUCUUAAGGUUUCAUAAAAUCCUAGUUGCAUUGCCUGAGUGGGUACCGUAAUGUGGUUAACAAAUUGGAAAAAAACUCUGAUUUUGUAGGUAUUAUUACUGAGCCAUCCAAAGAAGGCCAUCAGGGAUACCUCGGAGUUCGAACUUUUUCGGAGGUUAGAUGUUCCUGUGUUCGUUUUUGUUACUUGUAUACUAUGAAUGAUUUGCGCGUGUCAAAUUUUCAUUGGACUGCAAAUGUAUUGACAUGUACAGCUAAUACAUUAGGGAGGGACGGCGAAGGGCUUUGAAGGAUCUUGCAGCUCAAAUUCUCGGUGCUAGGAUCCAACUAAAGGAGCAUUGUCCUGUAAGUGUGAUUCUAUUUCACAGCAGUAUAUAUUGUUCGAUAAAUUGAAACUUGUCGCUGGAAUAAGUAGUGUUCUGAAUCUGUGCCAUUUAUGGUAGUUACACUGGUGGUACAUAUUUACAAGCAUCUAAUAACCUACUUUGGUGCAUACUGUUAUAUGCCUUUUGGGCCCAGCUUCUAUAAGAGCUUCUCUCCUUGAGAAGAAGUUGGGAAUCUGACAAACAAAAUAUUCAGGGAUUUUGUAGCAGUGCUGUUUGAAUGUAGCUAUUUGAAGAAGCCUUAUUGGCACUCUUUCUAAAAUCCUCCAACUUCCGGCUGCAGCUCCCAUGAGUUAUUUUUGGCUUUGUACUCCACCAAAAGCUCUAGAUCUUUUGUCUGAUGCAUGCAGGUUCUGCUUCUCUAAGUGAGAAGCUGUUUUAAAGGCCAGACAAAUUUAGAUAUUUGGCUUACGAAUCUUUAUUUCAUGUUAUUUUCUUGUGUUGUUAGAUUGAGGAUGCCCGAGCUGCAAUGUUUAUCUACAACAAGCACAAAAAAGAUUGGGAAAAGAGCAUGAAGUCACAGUUGCGGUUCAAGGAGAAGCACAGGAACCGGCGAAAGAAGAAAUCAAGGGGGAUGGCGAAGGUCGAUGUUUCGUCAACUCCUGCCUGAACACACAAAACAGUUUGCUGGCGAACAAAACCCUACAGAAGGAACCAACAUGUUAAAUGCAAAUCCCAGAAUUUAAGUACUCCACUAUAAUUAUCAUCAGAGUAAUAGCUUAAUUUGGGAAUUAUGAGAAACAAAUGCCUUUUCCAGAAUCUUUGUUUAGAUGAUGGCACAAAUUUUGCCCUAUUUUUACCUCGAUGAUGGCUGUUAUUUGUUUGUAGCUUUAGUGGAGAGAAUGAGUUAGAUUUGUUUAUGGUCUUGUCCUUUUUUUUGUUCUCCUUUGACGUGCGUACUUUCUGAGUGCGAUUGAAGUUCUCUGUACCGCUCUAUUCUCUGUAAGAAAGCAAAGUAUGCUUCAGUGACAUGUUGAUGCUUCAUGUUGAAAAUAUCCUUCACUGUCGACGCCUCUUAUAAUCGUGCCAUCAUAGUAUUGAGGAGCGCGUCAGAACCUGUGGUCUGAUGCUUCUCUUGGCCAUUUUUCUGGCCGCGCCCUCGGCUGCACCACUCAGAAGGCCGGCCGAUAUCAGUAGCUAUCUCAAUCGUCUCCUUUUCCCUCAUACUGCUGCUGCUGCUGCUUCUGUGUAGUAUCAAACAAUGGGUGUCCUGGUACACUUCUGGCUUUGGCAGAAGCAUCAAGUCCUGGUGGUUUCAGGGUGUUUCAGAUCUGACCUAAAAAACUAAGCAAGCUAGGCAGCUGCAAAUGCCAUUGUUUCCGUCUCUGAGAUCCGAAUGAGCGAUCUCGGUUCGGAUUAUCGCUCUCUGGCCAAGCACUCAGAGCAGCCGGUGCUGGGCCGAGAAGCUCAUCGGGCUUCAUUGAUGUGGCAAACAUUGUGGAGCUUAAAGUAAACAGCACUCUUAAAUUCUGUAAUGGAAAAGUUAUCAAAUGAAGUAAUCAAAUGGAUCAAAAGAUUAGGUAGCAAAAUCUAGGUCAUAGCAGAUAAAUUUCAUACAUUUUUACCAAAUUAGUAUGCAUAUAUAGUUGCUACAGAAGACAUGCGAGCUCCAACCAAAACAGAGCUCUACAUAAAAGUACAAAUUAGUAUACAUAGAGGCCAUAAAGAAGCUCCUUUAGCCAACACCAAAUUGAAAAAAAAAAAAAAAGUUGCAACGAUUUAUAAAUCGAAAGUAUUUUUCCAGGUCUCAGAACUCUUGAUAGAGAGACCUUGUGUAUGAAACAACAGGUAUAAUUCAUGGCAUUACACAAUUAAUUUUCAUUUAACGGGCGAAGAACUCUAUAUUUAGGUCUUUGCUCGGGAAAGGCCGGCGGUCGCUGAUAAACGACGGAUGCGGCAUGGAUUAGGAUGCGCGCGGUAAGACCCCAUAUGGUAAAUUUCCGGACCCCUGUUUCGAAUUCAAAGUAAUGUAUCAUAAACUUCUCCCCCAUCCGCUCCCGUUCCUCGAACCGCCGGUUCUCAUCCUGUUUCCAUUAUAAAACAAAUUAUUGGACGAAGGAAAAUUUAAUGAAGAGUUUGUUUUGGGCACAAACUUAGGGAUAACUUUCGGGAAAAACUUCAAAAACCUCUCUCUAGUUUUAUUUAAGAAUGUGCUGCUAAAAUGCACUUGACAAAUGAUAGGGGUGGCGCAAUGUGCUUCAUUUCAGAACCACAAGGUGGUGAAGUGCAAUCGAACUAAACAGUAGUGGGUUUCUAAAGUAUUUGUAAUAUUUACAGCACUUUAGUGAGACAAAUAAUUGUCGCGUGCUCACCUUUUAAUAGCAUUUUAACGGUGGGUACUUCCAAAAAAAUGGGAACAAUAAUCAACAAAGGCGCCGUGCUACAUUUUUAACCACAUGGUCGUAUAGUGGAAUAAGGCUAUUUACCAUAGGAGGUUUGUUGAAAUUUCCCUGAUUUUUUUAUCCUCGAGUUAUUUGACAAUGUCAGGACAGUCGAGAACAAACCCAAUUUUGCUAUAAGGACAACAUAACAGUUAUACGAAUAAUAAGAGGUAUGGUGAGAGACAACUAUUCAAGAGGGGUCGGAAUUGUUUUCUCGUAUUACCCUAGGAUAACUCGAUUUGAGCAGGACUACCAUUACCUGUAAAACUUUAUUGCAUUUGGCAGAAUAAGAAGGACAAGUUAUACACCCUCCCAUUCCCAAAACAAAUGUAGUCUCAAUAGAAGUAAAGAAUAAGUUUAUGUAAGACAUAAAGCAACGAAGACUAACCUUGAGAAACAUCUCCAAGGGCGCAUCGAAUAUUGCUUCGACCUCGGCGGCGUUAAGUACAGGCUUAAAUGCUUGUCUGUCGGAAAGUACGCCGACAACGGGAACAACUCUAAGAAGAUGCUGCAGAGCACACGGGAAAAUGAAAGUUAGCUUCAAUUUUAGGAAAUUAAACAAAUAAUCGAUUCUCACUCAAGAAAUGACAAUAUGAUGUCCAUAUCAUAUUUCGGUUCACUGAGUAGAUUCAAAAUUGUCGUGGAGUUAUUUGUCAUCAAAUAAUGAAUGAAAAAAACCCUCCUUGCCAAGAGGUUUAAAACUUCAUCAACCACACCGAUAUAAGAGGGCGCUCUUUUCAUUUGUUCAAAAUUAUUUGCGAUAAGUGCAGGCCUAGGUGUCCAAAGAGAAGCUAUAAACUGAAUUAUAGUGAUAUAAGCAGAUAAACUUAAAAGGAAAACCAAAUAUUGCAACAAAUACUGCAAUAGGGGCCUCUCUGUUCAUAAACUUGCUCUUGAAUGUGUUUCAGUGCGUUUCAUGCGAAUCCCUUAUUAAGUAAUUUCAGUUAAUAAACUUCCCCCUGUUCUUUCUUGUUGUUCCUCAUCGAGGCUGAUAAUUUCAUUUUUGCUUUUCAAAGCAGCUUUUUCUCUCCGCAGACGCUCUACAGGAGCCUACUAGAACCUGAAGCUGAAAUAGAAGCAGAGCAAAACAUGGCCGCGAAUUCUUCUAACCCCGAUAAUUUCUAAUUCCUAACACCCUAAUGCUGUCACAAAAUGAGAUCACUUGAACUGCGUCGUGAGAUCAAUAUUAUGAGUGCAUGACAAGAUUCCAUACAAUGAAUAAAAGGAAUAAAAAUGGACUAAAAUUCUAUUCAAACCCAAUUAAAAGAUUACCUUAGACAAGAAAGGUUCAAGAACGGUGACGACGGUGACGAGAGACGGAUCAAGCCCGAUCUCCUCCUUCGCCUCUCUCGUCGCCGUGUCCGCGUCGUCUUUAUCGCCCUCCUCAGCCUUUCCCCCCGGCAAUGCCACCUCCCCUGCAUAAAUAUGAGAGAUCAAAACCCUAGAAACCUUGAAACCCUGAAAACCGCACCUUUGCAAUGCAUUUUGACUCAAAAUCCUAGAGAGAUCUCCCAGAAACUGAACCCUCGAAACACGAGGAACUCUGCAGCGCCAUCUCCCCUGCAUAAGAGGGAUCGAAACCCUAGAAACCUGAAAACACCUAAAAACCCAACCUUUGAAACGCAUUUCGACUCAAAACCCUAGAGAGAUCUCUCAGAGACUGAACCCUAGGAAUCCUGGGAACUCCACAACAGCGAUCGGAACCCUAGAAACCCCAAAACCCCUAAAAAUCCGAUCUUUGCAACGCAUUUCGACUCAGUACCCUCGACAGAUCCAUCCGAAAGCCCGCGAACCUGAGUGGGUGGAGAGGGUGGACGCGCGCUUCGUGAGGAUCACACGCAGCUCGCCGCGAUCGCCCUCGAAGAGGCAGAUCAACACGGCCGCUCUCCUGGGCCGGAACCGAACGUACCCGGCGCGAGCCGGCCGAGGGACCGCGUCGCCAUCAUCGUCGUCGUCGUUUUCGGGGUCGGAGAGCGCGGAGGAGGGAGGCGUAUAGAGGCGGAGGCGUUGGAUGAGCUCCGUUAGGGCGACAAUGGUGGUCGUCGACUCCAAAUCCAAAUUCAACUCCAACUCCAUUGGAGGAGGCGGAGGAGAAGAGGGAGACGAAGAGGGAGGAGGGGGAUGGUCCAGCGAGGGGGCGCCAUUUGUUUGAGAUUGGAGGAGUAGUUGUUUGAGUUUAAUUUCCCUGGUACGGUCGUACCAUGGACAACGAUUUUACGGCGUGCACCGGGUCCACACCACGACGCUGUAUUUAAGCAUAUCUAUCUAUCCUUUCGGUGGCUGUCUUUUCCCUGGACUAAGCCCACCACGUCAUCUGUGGACAAUGAAGCCUCAGUCCUCUAGGGGUGCAAAUGGGGCGGAUCCGGGGCCACGAUGGGUUUCCCACAACCCGCUCCCUUUUUUUUCGGAUUGAGGAGUGAAUUAAUUUAAAUUUAUAUUUUUAUUCCUUUCGCACCCUCUAUUUGGGGGAUUGAGACUUAUUAUAUAUAUAUAUAUAUAUAUAUAUAUAUAUAUAUAUAUAUAUAUAUAUAUAUAUAUAUAGUAGGCUAGUAUGCUUAUGGAAGCACGGAGCUCUUCGUGCUUCCACUUUGUUUUCGAUGUUCGGACUUUCGAAUCGACGAUUGGCUCCGUUAGAGUUGAUCUAAAGUAUUUGAAGUACCUAGAAAAUAAAUUUUAUAAUUUUUCGAUAUCAUUUGCCUAGUGAUCAAAGAGCUCAAAAUCAAUAAUUUUAAUGACCAUGGUGAGCCGGUUGCAAGUUUAACGGUGUAGAAAUAUCCAAAUCGUAUGAAAUUUUGAUAGAAAAUUCUUUAUACCAUAUAAAACAAGAUCAAUAACUUUAAUCUAAAAUUUUAAUGUCAUAUCCUCGUAUUUUGUAAGAUUUUUAUUUUCAGCCGUUGAUUUUGAGCUACUUCGAUCACUAGGCAAAUGAUAUCGAAAAAUCGCAAAAUUUAUUUUCUAGAUACUUCAAAUACUCUAGAUCAAGUCUAACGGAGCCGAUCGUCAAUUCGAAAGUCCGAACAUCAAAAACAAAAUAGAAGCACGGAGCGCUCCAUGCUUCCAUAAGUAUACCAGACGCACUAUAUAUACAUAUAUUAUAUAUAUGUGGUUUGAUAUAAAGAGACAUAAUUAGCUUAUUCAAGAUUAUUGAAUAUCAUGUUGCAUCACAUCAUAUUUGUAUAAAUAAAGAGACAUCAUUAAGGGCUCUAACCAACCCAAUUAAAUUAUGAAAAAUACAAGAAAUCACAAGUCAUCAAAGAGGUCAAAAUCUCUCGUGCUUCUGCGAGUGUUUCUCCUCAGCACAGAACCUCACUGAACAAUCCCUCGGUGCUUAAUAUGGUGUGUAAUUUGAUGCUAGAUUUGGGGUAUUCAUCUCUACCACCCUUCUCGGUAUCUUUCGAUCAUCCUCGGAGGAAAAAAGAAAAGAAAAAAGAUGUCCGCGGAAAAAUGAAAGAUGUUCCACCUCUGUAAUGUGCCCCUGCAAUUGAUUUCUGGUCAUUCCCCGUUGCGAUAAACAAUUUGGUUAAGCUGUGAAACUCAUUAUCCUGAAAGAGAACAACAGAAUAAUAUUAGGUAUUAUCCUGCUUCAGGGAUUUUUUUUUCUUUUUUUUUUGUGGUGGAUAUAAAUCUUCUUUCUAAUCCCAGGAUAACUUCAUAAAUUUAGUGAUUUUUUGCAUAAUAAACACGAAGAAGUGAUGGAAAAUUUUAAUCCAAAUAAUACAAUUAGCUAUGGAAAAUGUUAAGGCAAAACAAGCAAACUAGCAACUUCCACAAAAGAAGUAGAAAAGGAAGAAACUCAAAUAAUAAUAAUAAUAAUAAUCUAUUACCUCAGCAUACAAAUCUUAUGAAAGUGAAAAUAUUAGAUAGUGAGGCAACGUAAUGAGAUCAAUGUUUAAAUACGCACAAAACUUACCCUGCACUUAUGUAUCUUUGGGGCCAACAUCAAAUUUUGCAAUGAAGAAACCAAUAGUAUCGAUUGAAGACGAUGGAUCAAAUCUCUGAACAAGUUCUGCUUCGCUUUUCGUCAGCCAUCCCCUGUUACGACAAAAUAGCAUAAGGAAACAGUUCGGAGAUGACCAAAACCAGACGAGGAAUCUCUACAUUAAGGUUUAAUUGGGCCUAACUGCAAUAAUUUUGGAACAUGUUUAGUUUAGGCAAAGUUAAAUGACAAAUUAAAAUUUGAAAUUAGUAUGUAACAUACAUAAAAAAAAUAUAGCCUUUCAAUCCAGUUAACUGUUAAAAUUUGAUGAUAAAAUUCCACAGAAGUGUAACAAGUAAUCGGCUAGAUAAAAGGGACGACCAAUCAGUUAUUCUCAACAAACAUUAAAUCUCCAAUACAAAAUAAAUAUUUCGUGCAUAGCUCAACAAGGAGACUUAUUCAAGAAGAACAAAGACAUAAUUGAACAGAGCUGUGACUUAACAAAAGAAGACAAAAGGAAGAGAAAGGAACUCACUCCACAUAUGUUUCUUUGAACAACUCGCAAUGACCAACAAUUCCGGGUCCUCCAAUUUUUGGUUGCUGAAAUUUCAUGAUCACAUGAAAAUUGAGAAAGAAAAUAAAGGGAUUAGGCAAGAAGUUCAAAAGUGCAAAGGGGGAAAAAGAAAAAAAAAAUCAGAGAAAGAGAGAGAGUACAUUAAAAAUUAUUUGGGCCCUGACACAUGCAUUAAACAUAUACCACUAUAUAGCUGCUAUACAAUGUUAUGACUACAAUAUCGCCUAUAACUGACUAUAUAUAUAUAUAUAUAUAUAUAUAUAUAUAUAUAUAUAUAUACAAAAUAAUAAAUAAAGAUAAUGCCAAGUAAGAGAUGGUGUAGCUUCUCAUGAAAGUUAGCGAGUGAGCUUACUUGUGAUGCUAGUGAAAGAAACUUGUAUGUAUCCAAUGCAUAUCUAACCAAAGCCUCAUUCUCCCCUGGGUUUAUGGUACAUCUAAAAAAAACCAUAAAGCAUGAUGUAAAGUUGCUAAUAAUAAACUCAGUCAAGAUAAAAAAACAAAUUCAAGCUUUGAGAAUGAGACUCACGUUGAAUAUACAAUUACACCUCCUGCACGAACUAGUUGAAUGGCUUGAUCGAACAUCCUCCUUUGAUAUUUAGCAUGAUUUCUCAAUGAUUCCAAUGUUUCCUACCAACAUGCAAUAUAUCGUUCAUCACUUGGACAAACCAUAGGGUUAUAUAUGUAACUAGAUUUUUACAGGGAUAUAGAUGUAAAAGGUCCAAAAAGAAUCUUACCUCUCCAGCAAAUAGUCGAGGUCUCAAGCCAAGCGCAGAACAUGGAGCAUCAAGAAGAACACGAUCAAAACUAUUAGGCAUAAAACCCUUCGAUUUUUCAACUCUGCCGCCCAUGCUAUUAUUUCUUCCUGGUCCAUUUUUCAUUUUUCGAGCAUUCUUCAUAAGGUCAGCCUUGGAAAGAAGCUUUCUAUCUGAAACGAAUGUAGCAGUCUUGAAAACUAAAGAGCAUGAAGGAUUGGUUACUAGUAAUAGGCCAAGCAAUACAAGAAUCAAGGACUCAAAUUGAAUUAUUUAACGAGUGAUAUAAGGUGUUAGUUCAUUCCAUGGUGUAGAAAACUCCAGAAUUAGUUGUAUUCUUUUUUCAGCUUCAUUUUUGCUAGGUUAUAUUUUUACCCUCUUGAUCAAGUUUAAUGACUGAUCUUCAAAUGAGGAAUACUAUCAUCCAUAAUAAGAUUCUUCAAUUUACAAGUGUUUAUUUGAUACACUACUUAAAGCUUGAAACUUCAUAGUCUAGAUUAUGUCUAAUGGAAUGAAUCACCACUUCGAAUACCAUGGCAUUGAAUUUGAGGUGGAAGAGCACCAAGUGCUUGGUGUUUCUCAGCGCACCCAGCAUAAUGCUGUACAUUCUAUUCCUAUGCAGAUGGUCAGGCAUGCUUUAGAGAAUGUAUAUGUCACGCCCCGAGACCGCUACCAAUUUGGUUCGAUCCGGGCGCGUCGAACAGACGCCGGACGGACAGCACCUCCCCUGUCCGCCCAAGGCUAAACAACAGGAUCAUGUACAACAAGUUCCCAGGAAAUCAACUUGAAUACAUACAUGAUUAAAACAAUAGCGAGGGCACAACCAGUGCCGAACAUUACAAGAGCAAGCAUCACAAGCAUAAACAAGUGAAUAAAAGAGAGAUAUAACUAUCUAUUACAUCACAUUUGACAUUCAACAUUUACAUCCAUUCAACCUUUAAUACAACUUGAUUACAUUUAAGCUUCCAAAAUGAAUACAUAACUGAUAUCACAUAUACAUAAUGCUAGCUAUCCAAAAUACAUCAUAUCAUCUAUAACAUGCACACGAGGGUGCUCUAGUACAAUAGGAAAGCUCUACUAGCUAGCUAGGGUGCUACGCCCUUACCGCGAUCACCUGCCGGUCGCUCACGUGUGUACCUUACCCCAAAACCACACGGGGUGAGAACUAUAAAAUAUAGUUCCCAGUGGGUUCGGCCGCCGACUCCGCCGAUCUUUCCCACUAGGUCUAAGCUGGCACAGUAGAUAGAUAGAUAGAAAGAUAGAUAGAUAGAUAGAUAUUGAACUGCAACUAUACUCUAUUGUGCCAUCAGAUGCAAGCAAUGCAUGAAUAUCAACUUAGCAAUAAGCCUACUAUCAUGAUAAUAGCUUCUUGCUAGUUGAUAUUCAUGCAUUGCUUGCAUCUGAUGGCACAAUAGAGCCAUAGUUGCAGUCCAAUAUCUUAUCUAUCUAUCUAUCUAUCUAUCUAUCUGUGCCAGCUUAGACCUAGUGGGAGAAUCGGCGGAGUCGGCGGCCGAACCCACUGGGAACAUAUAUUUUUAUAGUUCUCACCCCGUGUGGUGUUUGGGUACAGGUACACACGUGAGCGGACCGGCAGGUGAUCGCGGUAAGGGCGUAGCCACCUAGCUAGCUAGUAGAGCUUUCUAUUGUACUAGAGCACCCUCGGUGCAUGGUUAUAGAUGAUAUGAUGUAUUUUUGGAUAGCUAGCAUUAUUGUAUAUGUGAUAUCAUUAUGUAUUCAUUUUGGAAGCUUAAAUGUAAUCAAGUUGUAUUAAAGGUUGAAUGGAUGUAAAUGUUGAAUGUCAAAUGUGAUGUAAUAGAUAGUUAUAUCUCUCUUUUAUUCACUUGUUUAUGCUUGUGAUGCUUGCUCUUGUAAUGUUCGGCACUGGUUGUGCCCUCGCUAUUGUUUUGAUCAUGUAUGUAUUCAAGUUGAUUUCCUGGGAACUUGUUGUACAUGAUCCUGUUGUUUAGCCUUGGGCGGACAGGGGAGGUGCUGUCCGUCCGGCGUCUGUUCGACGCGCCCGGAUCGAACCAAAUUGGUAGCGGUCUCGGGGCGUGACAGUAUAUGCACCCGCUUGUGUUGAUCAGUUACGUACACAAGUAGCUCUAGACAGUUUAAAAUGAGAACAAAACUUAGGAAAAUCAUAAUAAAGCUUCUGCAUGAUCUCAAAAUUUUAAAUCAACAUUAUCAAAAUGCAUAUAGUUUUCAAUCAUGAGAUCUACAGCAAAGUAUCUACAUGAUCUCCUUUUGCAGAAUCAAGAUUAUUAGAACGCAUCUAGUUUGCUGUGAAUACAAACAAGAAAUUAUAAAAUUUAGAUGCUUUUACCAUUUUGUUCAAUCUUUGAAUUGGGGCAGCAUUUUUCUGUAUUAGACACCUGAUCACCAACUGCAGGCUUAUAAGAUUUAUCAUCUUCUGUUACAGUAGCCUCAACAUCAGUUUCCUCAUUAGUCCUCCGCACAGAUUUAAGAGCAUCGAGUUUAUACGCUUUUAUGCAAUGUAGGUCCAUCUCAGCAGCCAACUUCAAAAUUUCCAUUACCUGAACAUUGCAUGUUUCAUGAUUUAAUUAAACAAUUACAAUAUAUAAUAAUGUAGAAAAAACAAGUAAUUUUUUCUCCCUAUAUAUCGUUCCAGGUAUUAGCCACUCAAAGUUAAAAAAAGGAGGUAGUUCUUUAAUGGUGAACCACUACAAGACUAAUUUCAGAUAGAUUUUCAUAAAUAUAAACACAAUACUUUUUUUUUUAUAAGAUUAAGCAUCAUUAAGAGGACAGAAAAUUCAAGAUCUUAGAGGAGCAAUAGGUCUACCUUAUUGUGAGAUCUAUCAAUGGCAACCACCUCUCCUUUGUCCCUCAUAAGGAUAGCAAUUGCAGUUGUUUUUCCUCCUGGAGCCGCACACAUGUCCAAUAUCCGCUCUCCUUGCUGUGGAUCUAUGCCAAAUAAGUAAAGUCAAAUAAAACAUGUAGACAAUAAGAGAGCCUAUUUAAUCCAUGAUGACCAUAAACAUCAAAAGGUACCUAUAAAGCAAUAAAUAUGCUCAGGUUAUAGAUUUACAAAUAUCAUUAAUGUUGCAUUCCUGGAACUUACAGUCACCCAUUAUGUAAUGUAGAGCAACAAUGUGAAAGAUGCAUGCUGACAAGUAAUCUAUCACUUGGGAAAAAAGAAUCAUACACUUUCCCCUUCACAUGUAGUCUCUCCUGGCAAUUGAACUAAUAUUAAUUUGGCUAGAUAUGCAUAAAAUAAUAAAACAUCCAUCAAAGUAUUUAUUACAGAAUGUGUGCCUACAUUACUUUAUAGUACGUGAACAAACUAAAAAUGCCAACUCCCUGUCCCAGUCAGUAUACAGUUGACAUCGGACACUUGGAUGGUAGACCCCCAAUGCUACUGAGAAGUGGACACUGUAAGCUUGUUAAGGGCCAGUCAUGAAUAUCAAUUUGACUAGCUCAAAUGAUGUAGCUUCUAAAUAACAUAAAGGAUUCGUCAAAGAGAUCGAUCAGCAAAAGAGAAUAACAAUAUCUAGUCUCUGGCAGCAUGAAGUUCCUCAUUAUCCAUUCUAAAUCAUUGUUGACAGUAAUAAGGUGCUUUGGAAAGAGUAUUAGCACCAUGUUCUGUUAAUUGAAGAUAAUCACCACCCAGAAAAAAAUGAGAUAUCAUAGCAAAGAAAUUCAGAAUAAGGAUCUUAAAACACAGCAGCAGAGAAUCCACUUAUGGAGGAAAUUAAGAUAAAUCUACCAACAAGAAAAGUACAUAAGAACUCAUAGGCGAAUUAUUUUUCAAUUCAUACCUAGAACACGAGCAGUUAUAAUGCUGGGCAAAUUUUGAAGAAAUAUUUCUCCUUCAAGCACAUCUGAUUAAGAAAAUGAAGCACGUCACAGAAAGAUUGAGUAGAAUACAAUGUGAAAUGUUUACUGUUUUCUUAAGGAGAAACUUUGGAAACAUAAGGUGAAACAUAGAUUAAAGAAUGGAAGCUGUUCUGUAUUAUGAAAAGUUCAUACAUCAAAAUUUCAGUCAUUUAUAGCGGGAUUAUUUAUAAACAAUAUAACAGUGGAAAUCUUCAAAAAUCCAGUAAGUGCAUACCAUUAAAGGAUGGAAGUUUAUAUACUCUAUCUUCCAUUUCUACUCCAACUCCUUCAGAUGCACGGAAGAUGCCAGCCCUCGACAUUGAAGUGACUCCUUGCCCAAUGUACAGGCCACUUCUUUCUCGGUAAAGGGGAUCUGCCAUAUUUUAACAACCAAUUAGAUAUGAUCAGUUUAAUAUACAUAGACAAGUGACUCACAGAAUAAAGAUGUGUUCUAUGAUUGGCGCACUCACCAACAACUACAGAGAACAAUAACUGCUACUAUUUUGAUAUUUGCUUUUAAAUUUUAGUGGAAGGCACCUGAUUGCUGGAUUUAUUUGUUCUACAGAGAAAAAACUUAAAUUCGGAAGAACGUUUAAUUUGUUAUAGGUAUCAACAUAUUAACAAGAAACGAAAUUGAUUAAUUUAAUUAGAUAAGUCCCCAGCAACUCUGGCAAUUAGUGGCUAGAAUCACUUGCCUGAUUGUAGUCCCUGUAGAACAGUCCCACGCGUAAAACCAACCGACCACCCACCAUACUCAACAGGCUGUUCAAUAGCCACUGAUACUGCAACCUUGUCCCCUUUUUCAACAUGUGAACUACAAGCCAACACACCUGGCACAUAUACCUGCACAUAAAGCACAACCACCCAAAAUGCCAAGACUCUUCAAAUCUUCAGAAAAUACAGAGAUGAAUUUCACAUUUAUAAUAUGGCUAUUAAUUUCAUAAGAUAUUUAUGAAUAUAACACUAGAAAAUUAUCUACUUACCUAUAUUCCUGCAAAAUUUGAAUUUUUACAGGGAAAAAAUAAGCCAGAUACCCCUGACAAUCAGCGCAAUUGCAGAUUGUCACACGAGCUUUAAAGUUUAAAAUAAACUGGGCAAAACUUCGUAAUUACUGUCAAUCAACCAUCUAGCCUUGAAAUCUGUUAAUUUUCCUUAACAAUCUUCCCUUUUAUAUACGCCCUUCCAAAAACUUGCAAAACUUGUGUAACACAAACCAACUUUCCCCCAUGAAUUUGAUGCCUAACCAACCUAAGACAAUGGUAAAACUGUAAAUAAUUGCUAAUUUGAUGCCUAACCAACCUAAGACAAGGGUAAAACUGUAAAUAAUUGCUCUUGCGAAGGGUAUAUAUGAAAUUCAGGUUUUACGGGGUUAUAUAGAAAUUUUGCAGGGACGUAUACAUAAAAGCCCCUAAUUUGGAAAUACUUUGAAGGACAUAGAACGAAUUACUCGCUAAGAGAAAAUAGCAUCUAUGAUUCAUGAGUGACAAGGAGUCAAACAGGCAUAUAGAUUGGCACAAUCACCCUUCUUAAGCCACAUCAGUGGCCACAGUGCAAUUAACUAUGAACAAAUAAUAAUAAGGGCUGACAAGAAUGGGGCCCACCAGAUGAAGUGGAUGGAAUUGCCCUUCAAAUCUGAUCAUAAUAUAGUUGCCUUUUUGAAUCAUUUGUGCUGAGUGAGUAGAUACAACGAUUGAAAUUCUGGACACUAAUGAGUAAAAAUCUCUUAGUAAGAGUUGAGCAUAUAGAUAAUGAAAAUAUUAAGUCCUAGACAUGCACAUAGACUACCUGAGAAGCAUGUACUAUUGUACAUGCAUAAUAAAAAAAACCAUAAAUUACAUAUCUAAGUAUAACUUGUUUAAUUGAUGAUGUAAUAAAGUCAUGUCCUCACUAAACAUGGCAUAGCUCUGCUCAUAUCUGGAACAUAUCACAUAGUAAUACUUAUCAGAUGGCAUUGGUAUGAGUCAAAUUCUUCUCCAAGAAUUUUAAUUUUCAAAGAAACAUCGCAUACAUCUAAAAUGCAUUUCAGAUACAUCAGCAUGGCUCUAGAUAUUUAACAACAACUAUACAACUAAUGCCCAUAAAAGAACGUGACAGAGGGAAAUUUUACCAAGCAAGCAUAAUUUUCAAUAAAAAUAUAAUUUACAGGUACUUAGAUUGCAACACAAUAUUACAACAAUUAAAUUAUAGCUAAAAGAUAUACCUGAGCCCCUCGGAGAACCGCUUCAGCACAUUUUCGACUCACGAUUACUUCCUUCAUAGGCUCGCCGGUAAGAUCAUAGCACAGAAUGUGUGGACCCGAACCUCUAACCAAUACAACAUUAUCAAGACCGGGAUAUUGGCAUUUAGAUAUGGGAGAGCUUCCUAAAAAUUGAAUAGGUGUUUCUGCUUCCCCGGAAGUGCUGUUACAAUUAGACACUCUUUCUUGAUUAUUUACUUGAUUAGCUUCAAUACCAUUACACAUGUCAUUUCCAUCCAGAAUGUUCUUUAGCUUUUCCACAACAGCAUCGACAGAGGACUUGAGAGUGUUCACUCGGAUACAAGAGUAGCAAGAUGGUCGCCUAGCAAUACACAUUAUGGCACACAAUUAUAGAUCAGAUUGUUGAAAAUGAGACUACAAUGCCAAGUUCAUUUCACUAGGAUUUACACCACCAUUUUUUUUAUAUGCUGAUUAGUUCAAAAGCUUACAGAUGUUCAUAUUUUGGAUCCCCCAAUCUGAUUCAAAUCUACCAUGCAGUAAAUGAGCUAAAAAAUUAAUAUCCAAAAAUUGCGAAAAGUGAAAACAUAGAAAACAAAAAAAAUCUGUUCUUUUAUAACAUACUAAAAAUUUAAAAAUAAGGGUUUUUCUCGAUCUGCGCUAGAAUGUAGGUGCUAAAAUGCCGUUAAACUUGUAAUGUUCCAUAGGCAACUUUUGCAGCGAAAUCAUGUAAUCAUACAUGAGUUAUUCAAAUCGCUAAUUCCAUCAGUUUUGUUGUUUGAUUGUAAUCACCGUCACCCUUACUCAUCUCUCCCCACACUACAUCCUGAGCGUAAGUACAUUACUAGAAAUAGCAAAAACCCUAAAAUUGUCAUCUAAAGUCCUAAAAAUACAUCCAAUAAUCGACUCUUUGAGGAGAAAAGAGGAGAUAGAACGGAUUCACGAGGGUCGGCGCUUACGUUAGGGCUUUGGAGAUCCGGGCGAAGUGCUCGGCCCCGUAGGCGUGCGCGAAGUACGCCUCCACCUGCGUGUUCCAUCGAAGCUCCGGGUUGUAGCUGUAUCUCCCCUCCGCCGCCUCCUCCGCCACUUUCGCCAUAGAAGAAGACGACGACGAAGAAGAAGACACCAUAUGUGGGAACGAUGAUCGUCUUAAGAAGGAGAGAGGGGCGGCGGCGGCGGAGAGGCGGCGGCGGCGGCGGAGGAGGAGGAAGGUUCGGAUUCCGAGUAGGGAGGAGAAGAAGCUCGCGCUCGCUCUCUUCAUUCGGAGGGCACGAUCCGACCCGACCCGACCCGCCGCUCGAGUUUAAGUUUAAACCCGAAUCCGACCCGUUUUAUAGCGGAUCGGGUAAGUCACCGCACCAGUUCCACAACACGAUCCAAUAGAACGACCGGUGUUGGACUUGAAAUUAGGGCGUGUUUGUUCACCCGAGCUCGACCCUAGGAAAGACGGUGAGAGUUCCGUCCGUUCAGGAGAUCUAGACUUUAUGCGUAACGCUCGCGAAGUUGACUCUAUGAAAGACAGUGAGAGUUCUAUUCAAUCAGGUGAACUUGACUUUGCGUGUAACGAUCGCAAAGUCAUGAGUUCACGCCCACACCCGAGCUCGCCGCCGUGUGUGACUGUCUCACACAUGCGGAUCGUGUCGGUCCUUACUGACUACCACUGACUACCGAGAUCAUAGCGUCAUCCAAAUGCCGGCGAUCUCGAGCUCCACGAAGUGGCGACUUCAACAUGGAACUCGCAUGGAAACAAACACACCCCUUACCGAGUGAAAUCCGAAAUCAAUAACCUUUCUCUCGUAUGGAAUCUGAAGCUUCAAGCUGAUGCCUCUAUUUCUCAGGCUCUCAACACAUCAGUUCGGCUUAUUACUUAGCAGAAAUUUUAGAUGUAUUCUAUUUUUAAAUGCUUGGAAAUUAUUACCGCCAAAAGCAGAAACAAAAGAACAAUCCAAAUAUGGUUAUUUAUAAGGAUGCACACGGCUUUGUUCAAAACCAAAAAUCAAAUUCAACCAAAACAAAUAAGACUAUCGGAUUCGGUUUCAAAAUUUACUAAAGUUCAGUUUUCGGUUUGAAUACAUUUCUUAACCGAACCAAACCGAAGACCAAAUAGUAAUAUUUUUUUUGCAUGUUUUAUCUAAACUAUUUAUUAAAAUUUUAAUAUACAUGAUCAAAUCUUGAUUAUAUAUAUAUAUCAACACAUUUUUCAAAAUUUCAUAUUUAUAAUUAAUUUUUUUUUGUGUGAUUUCAUUAUAAUUCAAUUUGUAAUCUUAGAUUAUAAAUUAAUUCAUAAAAAACAAAAAAAAUUAAAAAUUAAUUGCAAACCUAACCAAACUGAAUUAAUUCGGUUUGGUUUGGAUUGGUUUCUGUGUAUAAAUACCGAAAAUUUCGGUAUAACGUGGAAUUUGCCUAAAAAUCGGUCCGAACUGAAUCGAUUACACCCUGAUUAUUUGCUCCUAUGGCCCAACUUGAUCUUUGGAAUCAAGGGACCAUUUUUCUUGGGCAAAUUAGGGCAAUGUGCUAUCCAUGGAUCUAAUUUAGUUGUAUUUGCCUAAAUUUGCCUAAGUUAGCUCAUAUUGGAUCUGUUAUUAAGGACUAUUUAGUCACAUCUCCACAUGAAUAAUAAGCAUACUAACAUCAAAUCAGCAUAUGCUUGAUUUGUCUUGUCGAACAGCUUCUCUAUAACGAGAUAUUAAUGAUCGAAUAAAAACAAAAAUAAUCGGUCGAAAUGGCCCCAAAAACGUUAUCCAUAAUUCGUACCUUUUUUAUAACUAUAGAUGGAGAUUGUUGUAGUUAUUAUAUAAAUGAAAAAGCUAUUUGAAUCUCCUUGGCCCCAUUGAAGUUUCUGUAAAAGUGUUGUUACAAAUAAAAGCCCUCUCAAAAUUUGAUGCUUCUAUUUUUUAAAGUUUGGAAUUUUAAUUUGGAUUUCUUGGGCUCUAGUCUUUAUCAAAUACAAAUUGAAAAAUGUAAUAUAAAGCAUAAGUAAAAUAUGGGACCAAAGUCCUCAAAUAGGUCCUUUUGGCUUUUUAAAAUUGACAUUUCAAUUCAAUCAGACACUUUCAAAACAAUUGAUGUAUUAUCCCCUAAUUCCUAUAAUAUUAUUUUUUGGAAAAACUUCAAAUACCACCCUUGUAGUUUCGCACUUUUUCACUUUAGUACCCUGUGGUUUAAAGUGUAUCAAUUUAUUACCCUGUGGUUUCGCACUUUCUCACUUUCUCACUUUUGUAUCCUGUGGUUUAAAGUGCAUCAAUAUAGUACCCUGUGGUUUCAUUUUUCUCUUUUUGUCAGCUACUCUGUUAAUAUUUUAUUAAAUUAUAUACAAAAAACUUCAGAUACCCUACCUAGGUUUUUCGAAUAUUCACUUUAGUAUCCUUUAGUUUUAACUUUGUCACUGAUUUUUUUUCCUCCGUUAAUAUUUCGUCAAAUUAUAUACAAAAAACUUCAAAUACCCUACCUAGGUUUAUCGAAUAUUCACUUUAGUAUCCUUUAAUUUUAACUUUGUUACUGAUUUAACAAAAAAAAUUAGUAAAAUGGAUAAUAAAAAGAAAAAAAUGAAACCACGGGAUACUAAUUUGAUACACUUUAAACUACAAGAUAUUAAAGUUAGAAAGUGCGAAACCACAGGGGCUUACUUGAUAUACUUUAAAACACAGGGUACUAAAGUGAGAAAGUGUGAAACCACAAGCGGGAUAUUUGAAGUUUACCCAAUUACUUACUCUACUCAAAGCAGCAUUUCUAAGACUGAAUAGAGCUAAUAUUGAUGGAGAAUAAGAAAGUUACUCUUGAUUCACGAUCAUCUUCUAUGAAUGGCGGAGCUUAUCAUCUGAUUUUUCAAACUAACGGUCAAAAUUUGGCAUCAACACUACGUCGUCAACUAACCAAUAUUUCAUGCGAGGUACUGCAUGUGCAAUCGACGUGCAAUCAAACACCAAAAGUUUUCAAAUGCACAUUCAUUACCUUUUCAAAUAAGUCUAUUCAAAUAAUGCUUACAUCGUGAUCGAUGCAACGACAGCAUUUCUAAGACCGAAUAGAGUUUAUAUUGAUGGAGAAUAAGAAAGUUAUCCUUGAUUCACGAUCAUCUUCUACGAAUGACUGAGCUUAUCAUCUGAUUUUCAAACUAACGGUCGAAAUUUGGCGUCAACACGACAUCGUCAACGAAUGAAAUAUUUCAUGCGAGGUGUUGCCUGUACAAUCAAAGUACAAUAAAAAACACCAAAAGUUUUCAAUUGCAUAUUCAUUACUUUCUCAAAUAUUAACUCUAUUCAAAUAAGUACAGUGUGAUUGAUGCAAUAUCUUAUGAGAGAUACACUGAGUGCAAUCAAAGUGGAAACACACUCCAGGGCUAUUAGUCAAAAUGUCAUGCAUUCCUUAUCCUCCCUCCAAGAGAUAACUAGUGUUUGAAAUGCUCCUACAUAAGAUUGGAAAUUGGAAGGAUUUGAUAUUUAGGCUUAAAAGAGGAUGAGACAUAUGGAUUGAUUUGAUCCCACAAAAUUAUUGGAGGUUCCAUUUGGUGCAUCAAUAUUUUCGAUUCCAUAUAAUUUAACGUGAUAUCAGAGCAGAAGAUUUUAAAUUUGAGUUAUGUCAAAUUCUUAACAUAAAUAAUUUUCUUUCAUUUAAUUUAAGUCCGUGUCUUGAAUCUAAUAAAAAGUUUCGAGCUCAAACGUAAUGAAGAAUGUUGAAUAUAGAUAUUAAAAAUAUCAUUCUCUGAUAACUUAAAGCUUUUAUUAGUCAAAAUGUCAUGCAUUCCUUAUCCUCCCUCCAAGAGAUAACUAGUGUUUGAAAUGCUUGUUCAUAAGAUUGGAAAUUGGAAGGAUAUGAUAUUUAGGCUCAAAAGAGGAUGAGACAUAUGGAUCGAUUUGAUCCCACAAAACAAUUGGAGGUUCCAUUUGGUGCAUCAACAUUUUAGAUUCCAUAUAAUUUAACAUGAUAUCAGAGCAGAAGAUUCUAAAUUCGAGUUAUGUUAAAUUCUUAACAUAAAUAAUUUUCUUUCAUUUAAUUUAAGUCUGUGUCUCAAAUCUGAUAAAAAGUUUCGAGCUCAAAUAUAAGAGAGAAUGUUGAAUAUAGAUAUUAAAAAUAUCAUUCUUAAUCUUGAUGAAAUGUUACCGACCACAGUUUAUUUCAAAAUCUGGGCAAUGUUUUGAUGAAAAUGUUACCGACCACAGUUUAUUAUAGAUUUUGAUGAAAAUGUUAACAAUAUCAUUCUUUAUCUCUGUUUUGUUAACAUUUUCAUCAACUUGGGCAAUGUUUUGUUAACAUUUUCAUCAACUUGGGCAAUGUUUUGAAAACAAGAACCGAUUAUGAUCUGAAAAUGUUACCGACCGAAGUUUUAUUAAUGUUAAAUAUAAAUUUACGCAACAUCGUUAUUUGACUGCUUAAACUUCUUUAAAGAACAGCUACUUCACUUUGUACAAUAGCAAGAGGCCAUUGUUAUGACUAUUUUCUGAGUUGUUUUUUUUUUUAUCAUAUUGAUAUUUUGGGUAACAUGGUAUCAGAUGCAGUUUUAAGUGUAAACAACGAAAAACUUAAUUUGCUAUUGCAUGCGGUGUCUUUUUCCUUAGAUUUCAUGUCCUGAGUUUGAAUUGUCUCAUCUCUGUUUCUAUUUAUUUUUCCACGAUUAUUUCAAGUUAGGUAUUGAACUCAGAUGCAAGAUAAAGCAUAUAAUAUUAGAUCGUAAAACACCGCUAUCUAACAUUUUAAGUUUUUUAGAGAAAAUUGAUUAUUUCAUGGUUGAAUGGUUGAAUGCUUAGGGUUUAGGGUUUUAAACUUGGUCUUAAACAAUACUAAACUUGGCCUUAAAGGAUCCUCUAGACCAAUUUAAGAACAAAGAUACAAUACACUAACCAUGAGUGGCCAAAAUAAAAGGAAUCAUGUGAGUGUUCAUUAGAUGGCUCACAAAAAAUUGUAGAAACUAAUUUUCUAAGGGGAAAAAAAAAGUUUAUGCAGAAAACAUUCUUUCCAUAAUUUUUUAUUUUUUUGGAUAAAAAAUUCAAAAACUAAAAAAAAGACUUUUUAAUAGAAUCUAUACAAAAAUUUUGUAAAAAAAAUAUUUUCUUAAAAACCAAACGGACAAAAAAUAUUUUUUUCAACUGCAAAAUUAUUUUCUAGAAUAUUAUUUUUUCUAAAGGAGCCAAACAACCACUUACUCUAAACUCACUGUAAAGAGAGCCCCUCAAUCCUUUAUAAGAUAGAAAGUAUGGAUAGUCCCUGUACUAUCCCAACUUUGCAAUUUGGUCUUUGAACGUUUCAGUUGACAAGUUUAGUUCCUGAUCUUUCAUAUAUACUUAUGUCGGAUCGUUGGCGCUAACCAUUAAUUCCAAAAGCUCGAGCUGUUAGAAAUACACAAUCAAUUCACUUAAAGCGUACAGAAACAGCGCCCACGGGUCUUGAUUGUGACUCGGCCCACCUGGCCUCACGCUACUUCGAACAUGACUCGGCCCACAUGGCCUUCCGCCACAGGGCAGGAUGCUGGCCCAUUUAAGCCAACAAUCUCCCCUCCAGUACCUGCACACAUUUACAGUAUGCAGGAAUCGAACCCGUGACCUUUGGCUCUGAUACCACUUAUCGGAUCGUUAGCGCUAACCAUUAAUCCCAAAAGCUCAAGCUGUUAGAAAUACGCAACUAAUUCAUUUAAAGCGUACAGAAACAGCGCCUGCGGGUCUCAAUUGUGACUCGGCCCACCUGACCUCACGCCACUUCGAACAUGACUCAGCCCAACCUAGCCUCACCCCAUUUCGAACAUGACUCGGCCGACAUGGCCUCCCGCUACAGGGCAGGAUGCUUGCCCAUUUAAGCCAACAACUUACGCUCAAUCAUUUUUUUAAAAAAAAUCUAUAUUCAUGGAGUUUUAUUGUAAUAAUAAUUUUUCUCUUCUUUGAAAUAACCUGAAACAAGAGAGUUAGAAACAACGAUGUAAAAUGGUCAUCUCUCGUAAAAAAGAAAAAAAAAAAAAAAGUAAACUUUGUUCCACUAACAGAAAAUUAAAAAAAACAGAAAAAACUUCAAAUACAACUCAUGUGAUUUCGCACUUCUUCACUUUAAUACUUUGUGGUUUUAGUUUUCUCUUUUUGUUAUUCAUUCUACUAAUUUUUUUUAUUAAAUCACUGACUAAGUUAAAAUUAUAUGGUACUAAAGUGAAUAUUCGAUGAACUAGUUAAAAUAUCUGAAGCUUUUUGUAUAUAAUUUAAUGAAAUAUUAACAGAUGACAAAAAGAAAAAAAUGAAAUCCUAGGGUAUUAACUUGAUACACUUUAAACCACAGAUUACUAAAGAAAAAAAGUGCAAAACCACAUAGGUGAUAUUUAGAGUUUACCUUAAAAAAUAUUUAAGUUAAAAAGAAUAAAGACCAAAUC
rnacentral:lncRNA from 1 species